rnacentral:rRNA from 1 species
UACGGGAGGCAGCAGUGGGGAAUAUUGCACAAUGGGCGAAAGCCUGAUGCAGCUAUGCCGCGUGUAUGAAGAAGGCCUUAGGGUUGUAAAGUACUUUCAUCGGGGAGGAAAAAACAAAACUAAUAAUUUUAUUUCUUGACGUUACCCGAAAAAGAAGCACCGGCUAACUCCGUGCCAGCAGCCGCGGUAAUACGGAGGGUGCUAGCGUUAAUCAGAAUUACUGGGCGUAAAGAGCACGUAGGUGGUUUUUUUAAGUCAGAUGUGAAAUCCCUGGGCUUAACCUAGGAACUGCAUUUUGAAACUGAAAUACUAGAGUAUCGUAGAGGGAGGUAGAAUUCUAGGUGUAGCGGUGAAAUGCGUAGAUAUCUGGAGGAAUACCUGUGGCGAAAGCGGCCUCCUAAACGAAUACUGACACUGAGGUGCGAAAGCGUGAGGGAGCAAACAGGGAUUAGAUACC